rnacentral:tRNA from 1 species
GGAGGGAUGGCCGAGCGGUUGAUGGCGGCGGUCUUGAAAACCGUUGUGCUUAACGGCACCGUGGGUUCGAAUCCUACUCCCUCCGCCA